AUUGAACGCUGGCGGCAGGCCUAACACAUGCAAGUCGAACGAGUGGCGGACGGGUGAGUAAUGUCUGGGAAACUGCCUGAUGUAGGGGGAUCACUACUGGAAACGGUAGCUAAUACCGCAUACCAUCAGAUGGGGCCAGAUGGGUUUAGCUUGUGGGGGGGGUAACGGCUAACCAAGGCGACGCUCCCUAGCUGGUCUGAGAGGUUGACAAGCCACACUGGAACUGAGACACGGUCCAGACUCCUACGUGAGGCAGCAGUGGGGAAUAGUGCACAAUGGGCGCAAGCCUGAUGCAGCCAUGCCGCGUGUAUGAAGAAGGCCUUCGGGUUGUAAAGUACUUUUAGCGGGGAGGCGUUACCCGCAGAAGAAGCACCGGCUAACUCCGUGCCAGCAGCCGCGGUAAUUC
rnacentral:rRNA from 1 species